ensembl:antisense
UGAUAAAUAUCUACCAUCUCCGUUCCAAUUCUCUAACUCCUCCUGUAUAACGUGUCUCCCAACCUGUCUUACUUUCUUUAUGUUUAACUCACUAGUCCAGUUGGCGGGGCAGCAUUCUUAAACUUCCUAGUUCUCUAGUGAUCAGGUCAUUACUCAUAGUGUUCUUGCUCUAUUACUUCUGUAUUCUCACUACAAUGUUUUAUACAGGAGUUCUCAAACUUUGAUUUGCUUUUGAAUCAACCAAUCAUCUUAAUGCUAGUAUUAAAGGCAUGCAUCACCACUGC